UACGUAGGGUGCAGGCGUUAAUCGGAAUUACUGGGCGUAAAGCGUGCGCAGGCGGUUUCUUAAGUCAGAUGUGAAAGCCCCGGGCUUAACCUGGGAACUGCGUUUGAAACUGGGAGACUCGAGUGUGGCAGAGGGGGGUGGAAUUCCACGUGUAGCAGUGAAAUGCGUAGAUAUGUGGAGGAACACCGAUGGCGAAGGCAGCCCCCUGGGUUAACACUGACGCUCAUGCCCGAAAGCGUGGGGAGCAAACAGG
rnacentral:rRNA from 1 species